rnacentral:rRNA from 1 species
UACGGAGGAUGCAAGCGUUGUCCGGAAUCAUUGGGCGUAAAGCGCGCGUAGGUGGCCCCGUAAGUCCGCUGUGAAAGUCAAAGGCUCAACCUUUGAAAGCCGGUGGAUACUGUGGGACUAGAGUACGGAAGAGGCGAGUGGAAUUCCUGGUGUAGCGGUGGAAUGCGCAGAUAUCAGGAGGAACACCAAUAGCGAAGGCAGCUCGCUGGGACGUUACUGACACUGAGGCGCGAAAGCGUGGGGAGCGAACAGG